GCUAAAACUCUGAGGUUUGAGUAUCCUUGUAUGAUGUCGCUCUGCUAAAACUCUAAGGUUUGAGUCCUUGUCAGAUACCAGCUUGACUAAAGAAGUUAUAAGGGUCCCAGUUGACAAAGGUUCAACUAAAGGCAAAAGGAAAGGCUCUUAGAGAGCCUCCUUACUUAGAGGACACCUCUUAAGGGUAAGUCCUCACGUAGAUAGGAAGUUUAUUAAUACUGUUCUGUUAUUACUGUGCUGAUAUUGCUGUUUGUCUGCUGCUUUGAUGUGUGUGUGCGUGAAAGAGUGAUUGGAGGUUUAAAUACUGCUCAGUAUUUUACCUCAUAUAAAAACGGUGGGGUUAAACAGCAAACCUCUUGUGGAUGCAAAGGCGAGAUUCUCCCACUCAAAAGAGUUGAAGUGGAGAAUACCACAACAAGGUCUUUUAAUUGCUGGCCUACUGAAAAGAUCUCCAGUUCAUAGGACUCCCUAGGAGUCAACGAACCUGGACUAAAUUUAAAUAAAUAAAAAUU